AACGAACGCUGGCGGCAGGCCUAACACAUGCAAGUCGAGCGCCCCGCAAGGGGAGCGGCGGACGGGUGAGUAACGCGUGGGAACGUGCCUCUUGCUACGGAAUAGCCUCGGGAAACUGGGAGUAAUACCGUAUGUGCCCUACGGGGGAAAGAUUUAUCGGCAAGAGAUCGGCCCGCGUUGGAUUAGGUAGUUGGUGGGGUAAUGGCCUACCAAGCCGACGAUCCAUAGCUGGUUUGAGAGGAUGAUCAGCCACACUGGGACUGAGACACGGCCCAGACUCCUACGGGAGGCAGCAGUGGGGAAUCUUAGACAAUGGGCGCAAGCCUGAUCUAGCCAUGCCGCGUGAGCGAUGAAGGCCUUAGGGUUGUAAAGCUCUUUCAGUGGGGAAGAUAAUGACUGUACCCACAGAAGAAGCCCCGGCUAACUCCGUGCCAGCAGCGCGGUAAACAUACUCGUA
rnacentral:rRNA from 1 species